rnacentral:rRNA from 1 species
UACGGGGGGAGCAAGCGUUGUUCGGAUUUACUGGGCGUAAAGCGCACGUAGGCGGAUCUUUAAGUCAGGGGUGAAAUCCUGGAGCUCAACUCCAGAACUGCCUUUGAUACUGGGGAUCUCGAGUCCGGAAGAGGUGAGUGGAACUCCGAGUGUAGAGGUGAAAUUCGUAGAUAUUCGGAAGAACACCAGUGGCGAAGGCGACUCACUGGCCCGAUACUGACGCUGAGGCGCGAAAGCGUGGGGAGCAAACAGG